GACGAACGCUGGCGGCGCGCCUAACACAUGCAAGUCGAACGGGGUCUUUUGAAGUGCUUGCACUUCGGCUGACCUAGUGGCGGACGGGUGAGUAACACGUGAGCAACCUGCCCUGGAGUGGGGGAUAACACCCGGAAACGGGUGCUAAUACCGCAUAAUAUCCCGAGAUGGCAUCGUCUUGGGAUCAAAGGAGUAAUCCGCUUUGGGAUGGGCUCGCGCCCGAUUAGAUAGUUGGUGGGGUAACGGCCCACCAAGUCUGCGAUCGGUAGCCGGACUGAGAGGUUGAUCGGCCACAUUGGGACUGAGACACGGCCCAGACUCCUACGGGAGGCAGCAGUGGGGGAUAUUGCACAAUGGGGGAAACCCUGAUGCAGCGACGCCGCGUGAGUGAAGACGGCCUUCGGGUUGUAAAGCUCUGUUGUGGGGGACGAAACAAAUGACGGUACCCCACCAGAAAGCCACGGCUAACUACGUGCCAGCAGCCGCCGUAACAC
rnacentral:rRNA from 1 species